rnacentral:rRNA from 1 species
AGGUGCUGCAUGGUUGUCGUCAGCUCGUGCCGUGAGGUGUCGGGUUAAGUCCCAUAACGAGCGCAACCCCUACCUUUAGUUGCCAUCAGGUUAAGCUGGGGACUCUAAAGGAACUGCCUACGCAAGUAGUGAGGAAGGCGGGGAUGACGUCAAAUCCAGCACGGCCCUUACGUCCAGGGCUACACACGUGCUACAAUGGCCGAUACAGAGGGCAGCUACCUGGUGACAGGAUGCAAAUCUCCAAAGUCGGUCUCAGUUCGGAUCGGAGUCUGCAACCCGACUCCGUGAAGUUGGAUUCGCUAGUAAUCGCGCAUCAGCCAUGGCGCGGUGAAUACGUUCCCGGGCCUU